CCUAUCUCUACAAAAAAUAAAUAAAUAAAACAAAAAAGAAUUAAGCCCAGAUCUGGUACCAAAUUUACAACUGCCUCAUGUCAACAGACCUUAUGGAGAUUGUUUUUGUUUUCUCUGUUCCCUCAAAGGACUUUCAAUGAAGCCCCUAAAGAGUAUACAUUUGUUUAUCAUUUUAAAAGAGAAUCAACUCCUUAUUCAGUCAGUUCAUAGUCUUUAUAAAUAAUGUUGGGCAUUCAAAUAGGACAUCUUUCAAAAAAUUACAUUAUCUAAUUAGACAACUUUUCAAAGUAACCUAUAGUGUCUUUGAAAAUUCAAGCAUUUCCUCAAGAGUAGUGUAUAGAUUUCAAAAAUUUAAAAUAGUUAUAUCUUGAAACUAAAGAUAUAUGUCUAAUUUUUGUAAAAUAAACAGUAAAUUUAGCAAAAGUACUCCUAGCAUUCUUCUCAAAUGUAAUACUAUUUUUGAAAAUAUGUAAAUAUUUUGAGAUAAUGUUAUACAGGUACAGCACCUGUACAACAUUAAAUAUUAUUUAAUCAUGUAAUUUCACUCUAGCCUGGGCAAAUAGUGAGACCUUGUCUCAACAAAUAAUAAAUAAAUAAAAUAAAUAAAAAUAAAUAUUGUACUAUUAAGAUUUUAGUUUGCUUUAGAAGUCCACUUAAAAAACAACUAAACAGUGUACAGGCAUACCUCGUUUUAUCGCGCUUCACUUUUCUCGGCAGAUACUGCAUUAAACAUAACUUUUAUAUACGCUGGGAAAUAAAAAAUUUCAUGCGACUUGCUCUAUUGUGAUACUCUAUUGCAGUGGUCUGGAACCAAACCUACUUCCGUCUUUACAUAAAACACCUGAAAUACAAGUCAUCAUUUCUUGCUUGAGUUACUGCAAUAGCUUCCCUCCUUCCACUGUUGUCUUUUUUUUUUUUUUUUUUUUUUUUAGACAUCUCCUGCUUACCAUCCUACAAUGGUUGCCUUUCACAUUUAGAAGGAAAUCCAUAUUCCUUAUUUCGAAAAAGUCCCACACAAGUUUACCUUUCUGUCCCCUCUUCCCUCUGCCCCACCCUCACCUGCUAGCCUAGGAACAUAAGCCGCCUUUGUUUCAAUACAGGAGCACCCAGAUUCAUAAAGC
rnacentral:lncRNA from 1 species